GUGUGUUCGUGAGACAUAAAAAAGUACAUGAAAGAAACCCACCCAUGGCCACGCCUCUGACAUCCAUUUUAAACCCUCCAGGGCUUCUGUUUGAUUCUCCCUUUCCAGGGUUUACCGGGUCCUCCCUUUUAUUUCACGGCCCCGGGGAUGUGCAAGGUCAUCCCUUCCGAAGCUCCAUCAGCGUCGGGAAAGGAGCAGACACCACAAUUCAAGGGCCUGGGCUCCGGAUGGGCCCUUCUUUGCCUAACAUGGGAUGGUGGACCAGCUGCUUCACCUCCGCGUCCCCCCGCUACGGCAGGGCGGUCACUCCCGUGCUGGGGAGAGCCUCGCACGUGGGGGGCGCCCAUGUAACUCUGGCAGGAAGAGUGUGCUUCGUGGACAUCCAGCGUGAUGGUAUUCCGGGCCAGUUCGUUUGGAAGCCUGACAAGUCAGAGCUGACUCUGCAUCGCAGCACCGUCCAAAAGGGACUUCUGUCUCCAGGGCAGCCCCUCCGUAUCCAGGCGUUCAGAUGCUCCGGUGAAGGAGGAUGACCCAGGGCAGCCGAGGGGGCGGCUCCAUCCCAGGCCAGCCCAGCAACCCCCAGCCUCUCGUGAUGGGUCCUCCCUCCAUCCCAAGGCAGCCAGUGAGUCUUCCCAGGUGGCUUACUCCAGCCACGCUCUGGAAUGAGCAUCCGUGUCCCGUCUCUGGCUUUUUAUGCACAGGCUGGUGAUUUGGGCCCUGCUUUUCUCUGUCUGGCUGAGAGCCUCGAAGCUGGCAGGCGGCCACAAGGCCCGGCUCUGUGGUCCCCCAGGCAGGCGAGGCGGGUGACGGAUGGUUCACCUGGAGCUUCAGAGAGUCUGAGCGCAGGUGGAACGGUCCAGGUGCCCGCUGACCGCGAAGGGCUCCUGCGCCUCUGAAAUGAGAAGUGUCUCUCCUGGGCCUAAGUGUGGGAUGCCAGGCAGUCGCUAUGACGGAACCUUUGGGGCAGGACGGUGUCCAGGUGACGGCUGCAGCUUUGGGCCACACGGACCGGAGUCUGGACCCCCCCUCUGCCCGCAGCCCUGCGUGUCAUAGCAAACGGCCCAGCUUCCUAACCUGAGUGGCGGGGUGACACUUGGGAGCUCGUGAGAAUGAGACACGGCCCGUUCGACAUCACCGAUAUUAACGAGUGAUGCAAUAUUAAUCACCGGGCCACCCCUGGCCAGCCGAAACCCACCCGAGCCACCUUCCGGAGCACCUCCGGAGCACGGCCAUCGCUGCCCCGAGGCCGGUGGCGAGGACGGCUGCGGCCACUGUCUCAUCACCUGCGAACCACACCCUUCCUCACCAGGCGGGGUGAGAGCUGAGAGCUGUCUCUGAGGCCCUGAGAACAGCCCGCACGCCAGGCUCAGAGACCCUCAGCUCUGCGGACGACUCAUCUCCUGCGUCGCUGCCCCAAAGCACAGGGCGGCCUCAGCGUGGUUGUCACUGGUCCCAUUUCACAGAUGAACUAACCGAGGCUCAGAGGGGCGGGAAGCCUGUUGACGUCACCUCACCAGCAAGUGCGGGAGCUGGGACUCGACCCCCCAGUUCUCGAGCUUAGCCCCUGCUCCACGGGAGAGUCACCCUGAGUCACGGGCGUUACAGGAACUGGGUGGCUGCCUCUCCUGGGGCCCCCGGGGGAGCCCCAGCUAGGACCCCAGCGGUGCCCACGAAGGGCUCCCACGCCUCUGGCGGGACUGAAAUGAGAAGUCCAAGACCCAGGUGUCCCAGGGCUGUGCUCUAUCUGGAGGCUGCUGAGGGGGUCCUUCCUGCUUCCUCCAGCUCCUGCAGGCCCCAGGAGUCCCCGCUUGCGGCUGCAUCACCCCAGUCUCUGCUCGUCCUCACACGACCGUCUUCUCUGUGGCCCUGUGAGUCUCACCUCUCCUAUAAGGACACCAGUUGUUGGGUGUAGGGCCCAAGCUAAAUCCAGGGUGAUCUCAUCUCAUAUCGAGAUCCUUAACUAAUUACAUCUGCUGCACAGUCAGGUCCCAGUCAGAGCUUCUGGAUGGACACACGUUGGGGGGGACACUACUGAGCCCACACAGGCUCAUGCCUGGAGCCCCUGCAGUGCUGGGAACUGUCAGAGUCAGGACCAGCCUCCCACCCCCUCGACUGACAUCAGGGGACACUGAACACUGGGAGAAGAGGGUGGGAGGCUGGUCCCGGUCCCCGGCAAGCUGGUGGCAGAGCCGGGCCUCGCUGGGUCUGCAGCUGGCGGGCUGAGCACCUGUCCUGGCAGCUCUGUCAGCAGCCAGAAGGAGCUGAGACAACCCCCGGCUGCCGCUUCAUCUUCCCGGGGAUAUAAAUAAGCAGAUAAAUAAACACGCCUCGGGUGAGAUCAUUGCAAGCUGCAGUGACAGCCCAGACAGGGCUGGGAUGUAUGUUGGAAAACGGUCUGCUUUCACGGAGAGCAAAUCGAGUGGCCAUCUGGAGGCGAGGACGCUGCAGGGGCGGGCGUCGCGCGGAGAAUCAGAGCGACAGGUGGUGAGGCUGUGGCUGGGUCCUCUCGGGCGGGCAGGUUCGGGAUGGCCACCGAGGGCAGGGCCCAACUGAAUGGACCGGAUCUGCUCCAGGUGCGGACACGGGCGCCUAGAUCUUGGGGGGCUCCUCUGGAGAGGCGGGGCGGGGGGCCCGGAUGGGCAGAAAGCGAGCUUCCCUUCUCCCCCUUCCUUCUGCUCCUCCCCUUUGCUCCCUGCCUGAACAGACGGGGAGGCCAGGAUGGGUGGCAGACCCACGGAGGUGGAGAAGUAGCUCCCAGGGCUGAGUGUCCCCACACCUGGGAGCUCCCAGUGACCCCUCUCCCAACAAUGGCUCCCACCUGUGCCCUUGCCCCACCCCCUCCGUCCCCUACAGAGGCUCCAGCCGCCUGCCUGCCAGGUCUUCCUCCCCCUGCCUCCCCCCUCAAGGAGGCUUCUGGCCUGGCAGGCCUAUUUGUGUUAUUUUGGUGUGUUUCUCCUUUUUUGGAAACAGACUUAGCAGAACGGAAGGAAUAUUAAUGAGGAUGGAGAUCAGGGGUCGGGACCUGGGAGAAGUUGGCUCGUUUGUUUGCGUUUAGGAGUCCUGGAUACGGAGAGCACCCAGUCUGCAAGGGAGUGGACUGCGGGAAGGCAAGGGGUCCAGCAGGCUGUGAGUGCCACGCGCUCCCCUCCUGCUGGGCGCAAGUUCCGGUGAAGAGCUCAGGUAUUCCGGAGCGUCUGCUGCCUUCUGGACUGGGUUUCUUGGGGGAACCUUGGAGGCUGGACCCCCGGGGCCUCCCACCAGCUCUAUGGGAGCUCCCGGGGCCGGGAGUGUGGGCAAGACCGCUGUUUAUAUAUAGACGCACCAGCCUCCGGCCCAGGGUCCUGGCCAGCAUCACCCGUGACCGCCAAACAGGCCAGUGGAGUCCUGGCUCCUGGGCGGCAGCCUCCUGGCCCCGUGCCUCCAGCGGGGACCCAGAUGGGCUGCACUGGGAUCAGGUCCCCGGGUUCCGGGUCAACCUUGACACAAAGGACAUCUUUGCUGGGCUCACGCAUCCUGAAAUUCCAAAAUUAACUUCCCAGGGAGUCAGACGAGGAGGAAGGAAGGGUGGGAGAGAAUAAAAAGAUGGAGGAAUGACAGCUCGUCAACGGCUGUCCCCAAACCACAGACCGUGUGAAAGUAUACAUGAGCAGAUCAAUUGUCCUGCCUCCUUUCAGCCUCUCCUUUGCUCCACUCGGGGUUGGCGUCCUGGAAAUUUAUCAAACCGGGCUUUUAGUCAUCUUUCUGACCUGGCUGUUUGAGAAUUAACCCCAGGACUUGGGAUGUACACAGCCGCUCAUUAGCACUGCAGACUUCCUGGAGGAGCCUGGCCUCUGUGCUCUCCCUCCGCACAAGCCGCCACGUGUGAUUCCUGUCCUGCGGGGCCGCGUCGGGCAGCAAAGCCCGGGUCAUGGGGCUGCGAACCCUGGCGGGAAGACUAAGACAGGAGACGAAGCCCCACGCACACCUGAGGAUGGAGUUUAUGCCCAUGACCUCCGACCUGGGACUGGAGGGGCCACCAACAGGGGCUGGUGGGAGGAUGGGCGGCCAGCGCCGGGGAGGACAAAGGUGUCCUUCUGUCCGUGGAUCUCACUUCCCAGAGCCCCUGUUGUUCCCUCAGCCUCCAGGUAGGGAUGACCA